UUGUCUUCUACACGCUUGCCAAACCUUCAAUCAAUCGCUUCUGCACCUUCACUCAACCCAGCGAUCGGAACACCGCCUAUAUCGUAUCUGUCUUUGUCUUCCAGCGUCACCAUCAACGUGACCAUCACCAUUCACCGCCGAAUGUGCCGUCAAAUCCCUAUACGUCGUCCUCUGUUACCUGGUAACAUCGGCAGUUAGGGUUUCAAAGACGCAACCCCAUUAGAAACAAUGUUUAGGGUUCAGACGUCCUGAUCUGUAUUCUGAUGUAGCAAAAGGAGGCUAUGGUUUCAUGAUGUAAACAAAAAGUUGAGUGUUGCAGUUGCAGCAAUUCUUGAGAUCAAAUUGUCAAUCCCUAAGUCACGUUUCUAUCUCAAGUUCUAUGACACCAAGCCAGCGGCCUAUGGGGAAUUAGUUUCAAUCAGGGGGCUUAAUGCUGGUGAUCAGAGAUCUUUAAUUAUAAGUUUUUAAAUAAUUUGACACAGAGCCCAUAUGGGGGGGCAUAUUGGAUUGUGUCAUGGUUCAUCACCAGCCAACUUUUGACCACCCGGUGCUAAAAGGAACAACGCCGUUGGACCCACCAGAGAGACCAUACGGGCAUCAUCAUCAUGCAGGGAUGGAGUCGAAAAUGUAUCAACAAUGAGUUUAUCCAGCGAAUACUGCCUGGAGGGAACAAUUUCGAUCAGAAGACAACCGAACAACAAUGAGUUUAUCCAGUGAAUACUGCCUGGAGGGAACAAUUCCGAUCAGAAGACAACUGAACAAGAUUGUUCUAAUGGUGGUCAUGAGCAUGCAGUUGGUUAUGUAAGUGGAGAACAAUACAAUGGAGCAAAAGCCAGCAUAAAUGUGUGGAAUCCAAAUGUGACAUAUCGAUUUGAAUUUAGACUGUCAGAUAUGUCCCUGCAUAGUGCAUACAAUUGAAGAAGAAGACCAAGUACUACGCCCAAUGGUCCACAACUCCACGCAUCCUCUCUUUUUCUUUAAGAAUGUGACGUGCUUCACCGCAGCAACACAGCCGUGGCCACACCACUACACCACCUCCUGUUAAACCAUUGGCCCAUUGCUCACACGGCGGUGCUUCUUAAAGACCAUAAAUAAGGAUGGCGCGGCGACUGUGGCCUUCGAUUCCGACGAAGACGAAACAAGCGAUGAGAGGUGACUACGACGGUAGUGAGCGAUUCGGUGGAGGCGGUUUCGAGAAAAGGAAUUUUGAUGGAGAUGGUUAUGAUAAAAGACAUGGUGAUGGUGGUAAUUUUAGCAGAAAGCAAAUCUGAUGGCGGCAAUGUGGCCAAGCUUUUUGUUGGGUCUGUUCCGAAGACUGCCACCCAAGACGAUUGUUCUCCCAAAUGAAGACGAAGAAGAAAAUGUCGUAAUGCUUCGCGUAACAUAUUAAGCUGGUGUACAUUGCAUCGGACCUAAGGUAAUCGGCCAUCCUGUGUUUGUGUUCUCCGUUUUGUGCUUCUUCGGGUUCGUGUCAGUGCCUAUUUGGUUGUUUGCAUGUUCCAAAUUUAACUUCCGAAGUUUGGCGUAUUGCAUCCCGCACGUAAACAACGGAAGGUAAUUUUCGUUUGUUUUCUUUUUGUUUCUUACAUUCUGGCCAAAGAACCCCAAAUAAUUGAAAACCACUAGUCCAAAUUUGUGUGCAUAUGCGAACGAUGGUCAUGGUAAUCGGAAAUCGGAACGGUGGUUCUUGAUUCUUCAAUUUGAGAUUUGGAAUUAAGAUGAAUCAAGUUAGUUCGUAAACUGUGGGUCAAGUUAUUCUACAAAGGGUUC
rnacentral:lncRNA from 1 species